CAGUCGCCGCGGUAAAACGUAGGUGGCAAGCGUUGUCCGGAAUUAUUGGGCGUAAAGGGCUCGCAGGCGGUUUCUUAAGUCUGAUGUGAAAGCCCCCGGCUCAACCGGGGAGGGUCAUCGGAAACUGGGAAACUUGAGUGCAGAAGAGGAGAGUGGAAUUCCACGUGUAGCGGUGAAAUGCGUAGAGAUGUGGAGGAACACCAGUGGCGAAGGCGACUCUCUGGUCUGUAACUGACGCUGAGGAGCGAAAGCGUGGGGAGCGAACAGGAUUAGAUACCCCCGUAGUCCCUGUCUCUUAUAC
rnacentral:rRNA from 1 species